ensembl:snoRNA
AGCGAGGCUAGAGUCACGCCUGAACACAGCCCGUUGUCCUGGUGUGCUAGAGCACUCGCAGAGGAAAUCUUUGCUUAUUCAUUG